rnacentral:rRNA from 1 species
CAAGAUGAGAUUUCCCAACUUCGGUUAUAAGAUCCCUCGAAGAUGACGAGGUUAAUAGGUUCGAGGUGGAAGCGUGGUGACACGUGGAGCUGACGAAUACUAAUCGAUCGAAGACUUAAUCAAUUUUUAAA